rnacentral:rRNA from 1 species
GAUGAACGCUGGCGGCGUGCCUAAUACAUGCAAGUCGAGCGAACAGAUGAGGAGCUUGCUCCUCUGACGUUAGCGGCGGACGGGUGAGUAACACGUGGAUAACCUACCUAUAAGACUGGGAUAACUUCGGGAAACCGGAGCUAAUACCGGAUAAUAUAUUGAACCGCAUGGUUCAAUAGUGAAAGACGGCUUUGCUGUCACUUAUAGAUGGAUCCGCGCCGCAUUAGCGAGUUGGUAAGGUAACGGCUUACCAAGGCGACGAUGCGUAGCCGACCUGUGGGGGUGGUCGGCCACCCUGGAGCUUGGCCACGGUCCAGACUCCUACGGGAGGCCGCAGUAGGGAAUCUUCCGCAAUGGGCGAAAGCCUGACGGAGCAACGCCGCGUGAGUGAUGUAGGUCUUCGGAUCGUAAAACUCUGUUAUUAGGGAAGAACAAAUGUGUAAGUAACUAUGCACGUCUUGACGGUACCUAAUCAGAAAGCCACGGCUAACUACGUG